GAAAAGGGGGUGUGUUAAUGGACAGGUCACAACAGCAAAUGAUAGUCUUGACACUGUAACGGUCACUCUGUCCGUUGAUUUCAUCCAAUCUGAGGGGCCUUACCUUUGUCUACCAGGAACUAUAGAUAACCACACCAGGGGGUAAUCUUCCUUUUCUUAAAGCUUGCUCAAACUCAUAUUUAGUAUUAGUUGAACUUUAAAUUUUGCUUAAGGAGUUUUUCUCCAAGUUUCCUUGCUCUCCUUCGUUUCCUUCGUCUCUCCAUAAAAAUGAAUGAAGCUUAUGCCAAAACUUGUAAAAAGUCUGGUUAUGAAGUCGUUAAAUCAAGAGAUAUAUUUAAGCAACCGGAAACGUCUGAUGACGAAGUGAGUCUGAGUUUAAGCGAAGAAAGCUCUGUGCAAGCUUCUGCUCCAGCAAAUCCAGAUACUACCCGGUCAGAGGCAGGAGAAUCUACUACUGAAGUUGUACAGGCUCCUAUGGAAGAAACCGAACAAGUUGAACAGGCUGCAACAGUAGCUGAAACUAUAUCUACAGCUGUAGUAGAAACUAUUACCACAACAGUCCAAAACGCUAUUGAUCGUUGCAUUGUCCAGUGAUGACCAAUGGUUAAUUCCACUGUAACAGAUAUAACGUAAAAGGCUGAAGAAUCACUCGCCGAAUGAUUUGAUAUUUUUUAAUAGCCAGGAACUGGGAUGCAUGAAUUUUCCUUUCAUACAAAGCUGCAAUUUUGUAAAUAUUUUUUUAAGCUUAAAUAAAAUAAUUUUUGAUUUUAA